CGCUGGGCCAACCCAAUUUGAAAAAACAUGCCUACACGCACCCGUACAAAAGGGACAAAACUCUACCAUACACCUCCUCCUAAACGCCAACUCACCAGAAGACACCCUCUCAUACACGAAGGCGUGGGAAAGAGACAUAGGCCCCCCAGAGGACCCAUCAGAUUGGUUGGACAUAUGGGAGGCUACACCCUCACUCACCAUAUGUGUGAAUCACA